rnacentral:sRNA from 1 species
UAGUUCUUAUUGCAACGACGCCUUCCC